UACAGAGGGGGCAAGCGUUGUUCGGAAUUACUGGGCGUAAAGGGCGCGUAGGCGGCCUGCUAAGUCGAACGUGAAAUCCCCGAGCUCAACUCGGGAACUGCGUCCGAUACUGGCAGGCUUGAAUCCGGGAGAGGGAUGCGGAAUUCCAGGUGUAGCGGUGAAAUGCGUAGAUAUCGGGAGGAACACCAGCGGCGAAGGCGGCACUCUGGGCUGGUACUGACGCUGAGGAGCGAAAGCGUGGGUAGCAAACAGG
rnacentral:rRNA from 1 species